UACGAAGGGUGCAAACGUUGCUCGGAAUCAUUGGGCGUAAAGCGCACGUAGGCGGCUCUGCAAGUCGGAUGUGAAAUCCCUCGGCUCAACCGAGGACGUGCAUCCGAAACUGCGGAGCUUGAGUAUGGAAGAGGGUCGCGGAAUCCCCGGUGUAGAGGUGAAAUUCGUAGAUAUCGGGGGGAACACCAGUGGCGAAGGCGGCGACCUGGGCCAAUACUGACGCUGAGGUGCGAAAGCGUAGGGAGCAAACAGG
rnacentral:rRNA from 1 species